GCCCCCGUAGCUCAACGGACAGAGUGACGGUCUUCGAAACCGGAGGUUGCAGGUUCGAGUCCUGCCGGGGGCA
rnacentral:tRNA from 1 species